UACGUAGGGUGCAAGCGUUGUCCGGAAUUAUUGGGCGUAAAGGGCUCGUAGGCGGUUUGUCGCGUCGGGCGUGAAAACUCAGGGCUUAACCCUGAGCCUGCUUCCGAUACGGGCAGACUAGAGGUAUGCAGGGGAGAAUGGAAUUCCUGGUGUAGCGGUGAAAUGCGCAGAUAUCAGGAGGAACACCGGUGGCGAAGGCGGUUCUCUGGGCAUUACCUGACGCUGAGGAGCGAAAGUGUGGGGAGCGAACAGG
rnacentral:rRNA from 1 species